GGCCGUGGCUGACAGGUUACGGCGUUCGCUUUGCAAGUGAAUGGUUGUGGGUUCGAUUGCCAUUUCA
rnacentral:tRNA from 1 species